rnacentral:rRNA from 1 species
CUACGGGAGGCAGCAGUCGGGAAUUUUGGGCAAUGGGCGAAAGCCUGACCCAGCAACGCCGCGUGAAGGAUGAAAUCCCUCGGGAUGUAAACUUCGCAAGAACGGGAAGAAUUAGUGGAAGUUAAUACCUUCCAUGAUGACGGUACCGUUUGUAAGCUCCGGCUAACUCCGUGCCAGCAGCCGCGGUAAUACGGGGGGAGCAAGCGUUGUUCGGAUUUACUGGGCGUAAAGGGCGCGUAGGCGGCGUCCGCAAGUCAGUUGUGAAAUCUCCGAGCUUAACUCGGAAAGGUCAACUGAUACUGCGGGGCUAGAGUGCGGAAGGGGCAACUGGAAUUCUUGGUGUAGCGGUGAAAUGCGUAGAUAUCAAGAGGAACACCUGCGGCGAAGGCGGGUUGCUGGGCCGACACUGACGCUGAGGCGCGAAAGCUAGGGGAGCGAACGGGAUUAGAUACCCCGGUAGUCCUAGCCUUAAACGAUGAAUGCUUGGUGUCUGGGGUUAUGUAGUCCCCGGGUGCCGUCGCUAACGCUUUAAGCAUUCCGCCUGGGGAGUACGGUCGCAAGACUGAAACUUAAAGGAAUUGACGG